rnacentral:lncRNA from 1 species
AAAGGUCCUCAAUAGGUGAGACUUCGCUUCCCAUACGAUUAAGAUAUUCUGAUGCUUGACUCACUGAAAAGUGAGAAAUCAGGGUUUCUUUAUGGGUUAGCUCCCGCUUCUUAGUUGUCGAGAUCUUUAGCCCAUGUAGUUUGGAUCAACAGGUGCUAAGGUCCUUUUAGGUUAGCCCCUCUCUGAAGGUCCUCAAUGGGUGAGUGUUCGCUUCUUGCUCAACUAAGGUCUUCUGAUGCUCAACUUACUGAAAAAUGAGGAGUCAGGGGUCCUCUAUAGGUUAGCCUUCGUUUCUUAGUCGCUGAGGUCUUCAACCCAUGAAGCU